rnacentral:rRNA from 1 species
UGGGGAAUAUUGCACAAUGGGCGCAAGCCUGAUGCAGCCAUGCCGCGUGUAUGAAGAAGGCCUUCGGGUUGUAAAGUACUUUCAGCGGGGAGGAAGGCGAUAAGGGUAAUAACCUUGUCGAUUGACGUUACCCGCAGAAGAAGCACCGGCUAACUCCGUGCCAGCAGCAGCGGUAAUACGGAGGGUGCAAGCGUUAAUCGGAAUUACUGGGCGUAAAGCGCACGCAGGCGGUCUGUCAAGUCGGAUGUGAAAUCCCCGGGCUCAACCUGGGAACUGCAUUCGAAACUGGCAGGCUAGAGUCUUGUAGAGGGGGGUAGAAUUCCAGGUGUAGCGGUGAAAUGCGUAGAGAUCUGGAGGAAUACCGGUGGCGAAGGCGGCCCCCUGGACAAAGACUGACGCUCAGGUGCGAAAGCGUGGGGAGCAAACA